rnacentral:rRNA from 1 species
UGGGGAAUAUUGCACAAUGGGGGAAACCCUGAUGCAGCGACGCCGCGUGAACGAAGAAGGUAUUCGUAUCGUAAAGUUCUGUCCUAUGGGAAGAUAAUGACAGUACCAUAGAAGAAAGCUCCGGCUAAAUACGUGCCAGCAGCCGCGGUAAUACGUAUGGAGCGAGCGUUGUCUGGAAUUAUUGGGCGUAAAGGGUACGCAGGCGGUUUAAUAAGUCGAAUGUUAAAGAUCGGGGCUCAACCCCGCAAAGCAUUGGAAACUGAUAAACUUGAGUAGUGGAGAGGAAAGUGGAAUUCCUAGUGUAGUGGUGAAAUACGUAGAUAUUAGGAGGAAUACCAGUAGCGAAGGCGACUUUCUGGACACAAACUGACGCUGAGGUACGAAAGCGUGGGGAGCAAACAGG